rnacentral:rRNA from 1 species
AUGCCGCUAAUGCCAGCGCCACCACAGCGCGUGCAUGUGCUGCUGUCGGCCAAUCUCUCUACCGUGCGCCUCCGCUGCCAACGCGUGCUGCCGGCGGUGCUGCUGCUCUUCCUGCUUGCCGCUUGCGCUGCUGCUUGCUUCCUUGAUAGCCGACGCUGCUGCUGCUGCUUGCUUCCUCGCAAGGCGGCGCUGCUGUUGUUGCUGCUUGCCGGUGCAGCUGUUACUGCUUGCUUGCUUGGUUGCCAGCCAGUGCUGCUUGUUUGCUCGGCCGCGAAUCCAAGCACACCACGGCCACCAUGA